GCCAAACAAUAGGGGAUUUAUCGGUGGCACCUUUCUCUAGCAUGGAAUCCAAUGCUCAACCCAUGAAUGAGCCACUCCUGGAACCGGACACUUCCUCAUUUGGAUUUCUUGGUCAGAUUCCUCGGAAUUUCAGCCUAUCAGAUCUAACAGCGGACUUUUCACAGAGUUCAGAUAUACUGGAGAAUUAUGCUAGAUCUCCUUUUCUCGCUACGGAAGCUGAGAACUUCAUGGAAAUUCGCGACAGAGAACAUCAAGACGACAAUAAAAGGUCGUUGGAUACCAUAU
rnacentral:misc_RNA from 1 species